rnacentral:rRNA from 1 species
UACGUAGGGUGCGAGCGUUAAUCGGAAUUACUGGGCGUAAAGCGUGCGCAGGCGGUUUUGUAAGCCAGAUGUGAAAUCCCCGGGCUCAACCUGGGAAUGGCAUUUGGGACUGCAAGGCUGGAGUGCGGCAGAGGAGACUGGAAUUCCUGGUGUAGCAGUGAAAUGCGUAGAUAUCAGGAGGAAUACCGAUGGCGAAGGCAGGUCUCUGGGCUGACACUGACGCUCAUGCACGAAAGCGUAGG